UAAAGAUAAUUUCAUUGUGAAUAUAAAAUAAAUAAUAUAAUAAUAGGUUUUUACAUAUAUAAAAUAUGUAUACAUAUAAAUUAUUAUUUUAUAAUUUAAAUGGGAUCUUAUAUUUAAAUAGAAUAUUCAAAAAAUAUUAUUUUAUUAUUUUAUCGAUUUACGUCAAAUUUUAAACCGAUUCAAGUUGGAACCAACGAAAUUUAUUAAUUUAUAGAGAUUAUUAAUCUAUCGAAUAUUAGUUUAUAGAAGUUCUACUGUAUAUAUAUAGUACUAAAUUAAAUAUGUAGUUUAUUUUAAUCAAGAAUUAUAAAUAAUAAAAUAACACAUAUGGACAUGCUGCAUAGAUGGGAAUGCACAGAAGGGUGCAACAAACUCACGAUAUUAAUUUGAUUCCCAUAAUUUGAUUCCUUUUGACUCUAACAUUUUAGGAAAAUCUCCAUAACUUGAUUCCCUCUAAUUUCGGUAACAAACUAAUGAUAUUAAUAAUUAAUAUCACGCAUCUUGUUAGAGGAAAGAAUAAAAAUCGGUUAAAUAUAUGGUAUUGACUAAUAUAUUGUACAAAUAUCCUACUAUAUAAAAGGGACUAUUUUUAAAGCUUCUUAGGCAUGCCACAUAGGACAAAAUAUUUAGGACUAUUUUUAAAGCUUCUUAGGCAUGCCACAUAUGACAAAAUAUUUAGAACCUAUCAUUUAGACAUGUCAUCAAGGGUGUUUGUUUUAUGGGCUUCGAACCAUAACUUUAUAAAAAUAUCGAACCCAUUUAUAGUUUCCCACAUAAAGACCUAAAUAAGCCUGUUUUAAGCUAUUUCUCUCCAUUUUGUCGUAUCACCUUCACCAGUCAACGCUAUUUUUGGCUUUGAUUAGGUUCACCUCUGUAUUCCUUCCCUCUCUCUAAACUUCUCCAAUAAAAAUCCAUGGAACUCUUCAGCUCCCCCCUCUCUUCUCAUUCUAUCGAUAUCUCUGUAAAUAAUUGAUGCCAGGAUCGGGAAUCAAACAUCGCUUACUCGCUUAUUGUGUCUCUCAACCGGCUAAUCUUUUAUUCAACUGUAGAAAAUGUCUGCUUCCGAUGCUAUUUCUGUCCAGACAGAUGUUACCAAGGCCAACUUUGACGAUCUCCACGCUCUUGCAAAUACGAACUUAUAACUCCCCGAUGUUGAACAAAUAUGUUUCAUGUAAGGCUAUGACCUCAACUAGGCGGCAGCAACGAAUCGUUUGUCGUCCGUUUUUUCAUUGAGCUUUUGGUCAUGCUGUAUUUGUCUUUGUGGGAUGGCGCAGCCACAAGUUUUUGGGGGAAUUUGUGCUCAGGCUAUACUACUCACUCUGUCAUGGUGGUCAUCACGGUGAAUCCUAAAAUUUUUGGAGGUAUUGGUGGGACAGAAGAGGUCCUCCCACGUGUUGAGAUCUUCACAGUGCCUCUCCAAAGUCCAACGACUAGACCCAUAAGGCUUAUUUUCUAUGUAAGGCUAGGAUCGUCGGUGUCCUCCAGCAAAAUGGUUGGUCGACAUAAGAGGUCGUCUGUCGCUUGCACUGGUUGCAGCAGGAGAUUGGACAAAUCCAAGACUUCACUACAGUGCAAUAGAUGUGUUUCACCAAACGUCACUGGAGUCAUCAGGUUCCAUGUCGAGUAGCCUUUAGAUGAUGGCUACGAAAAUGCUGUAUUUGUGGUGUCUGACACGGAGAUGACCAAACAGACCAAGAAAGAUGCAGCCACAAUGGCUCUUGAGGAGGUUAGCUUCCACCCCAGCACUCCAUUCAUCUUAUAUUUUUAAAAUGGUUAAGGUUGCUCUCAUUGACUCACUAAACUUAAACCUAUUUUAAUUUCACCCCCAACCACUGAACCUUCACCGUCUCUUCAAUCACUGAAGAUGUGGCUCUCAACACACAUUCAGAGGUUGCAAGCAGCAGCAAAGCACCACAGGUGUACGACUAAUCGGAACAACCACCAGCAUCUGGCAACUUCACAUGUGAUGCAUACACGAAAGAAAUGGACGGUGAGGCAGCAAAACCACCAAGCUUUGGAGACGAUGAGAACACCCGCAAGCGCCUGUGAGUAAUAUUUUUCAAGUCCAACAAUGUCAUUCCCACUUAACUUCUGUACCUUAAAUAACUAUUUUCCAUGUUUUUUAUUCUUCCAUCUUUGGUUAUUUUUUUGAAUUAUCUGCAAACUAUCUUCUGUUUAACUGUUACUUGGUUCUAAAAUAAAGUUUUUUUAAUAAAGGGAACGUUGACGGCCAUACCUUGGUCUAUUU